GGUUAAGCGACUAAGCGUACACGGUGGAUGCCCUGGCAGUCAGAGGCGAUGAAGGACGUGCUAAUCUGCGAAAAGCGCCGGCGAGGUGAUAUGAACCUUUGACCCGGCGAUGUCCGAAUGGGGAAACCCAGUGCAAUUCGUUGCACUAUCGUUAACUGAAUACAUAGGUUAACGAGGCGAACCGGGGGAACUGAAACAUCUAAGUACCCCGAGGAAAAGAAAUCAACCGAGAUUCCCCCAGUAGCGGCGAGCGAACGGGGAGCAGCCCAGAGUCUGAAUCAGCUUGUGUGUUAGUGGAAGCGUCUGGAAAGUCGCACGGUACAGGGUGACAGUCCCGUACACGAAAGCACACAGGCUGUGAACUCGAAGAGUAGGGCGGGACACGUGGUAUCCUGUCUGAAUAUGGGGGGACCAUCCUCCAAGGCUAAAUACUCCUGACUGACCGAUAGUGAACCAGUACCGUGAGGGAAAGGCGAAAAGAACCCCGGCGAGGGGAGUGAAAAAGAACCUGAAACCGUGUACGUACAAGCAGUGGGAGCACCUUCGUGGUGUGACUGCGUACCUUUUGUAUAAUGGGUCAGCGACUUAUAUUCUGUAGCAAGGUUAACCGUAUAGGGGAGCCGAAGGGAAACCGAGUCUUAACUGGGCGUUAAGUUGCAGGGUAUAGACCCGAAACCCGGUGAUCUAGCCAUGGGCAGGUUGAAGGUUGGGUAACACUAACUGGAGGACCGAACCGACUAAUGUUGAAAAAUUAGCGGAUGACUUGUGGCUGGGGGUGAAAGGCCAAUCAAACCGGGAGAUAGCUGGUUCUCCCCGAAAGCUAUUUAGGUAGCGCCUCGUGAACUCAUCUUCGGGGGUAGAGCACUGUUUCGGCUAGGGGGCCAUCCCGGCUUACCAACCCGAUGCAAACUACGAAUACCGAAGAAUGUUAUCACGGGAGACACACGGCGGGUGCUAACGUCCGUCGUGAAGAGGGAAACAACCCAGACCGCCAGCUAAGGUCCCAAAGUCAUGGUUAAGUGGGAAACGAUGUGGGAAGGCACAGACAGCCAGGAUGUUGGCUUAGAAGCAGCCAUCAUUUAAAGAAAGCGUAAUAGCUCACUGGUCGAGUCGGCCUGCGCGGAAGAUGUAACGGGGCUAAACCAUGCACCGAAGCUGCGGCAGCGAC
rnacentral:rRNA from 2 species